UACGGAGGGGGCAAGCGUUGUUCGGAGUUACUGGGCGUAAAGCGCGCGUAGGCGGUGCGGUAAGUCAGGGGUUAAAGGCUGCAGCUCAACUGCAGUAAGGCCUUUGAUACUAUCGUGCUAGAGUGUCAGAGAGGAUGGCGGAAUUCCCGGUGUAGCGGUGAAAUGCGUAGAUAUCGGGAGGAAUACCAGUGGCGAAGGCGGCUAUCUGGCUGGUAACUGACGCUGAGGUGCGAGAGCGUAGGGAGCAAACAGG
rnacentral:rRNA from 1 species